rnacentral:rRNA from 1 species
AGGCUGAAGACUUUUGCCGGAUUAGCUGAGAGGUGGUGCAUGGCCGUCGUCAGUUCGUACUGUGAAGCAUCCUGUUAAGUCAGGCAACGAGCGAGACCCACGCCCACAGUUGCCAGCGUACUCUCUGGAGUGACGGGUACACUGGUGGGGACCCGCCGCUGCUAAAGCGGAGGAAGGAAUGGGCAACGGUAGGUCAGUAUGCCCCGAAUAUCCCGGGCUACACGCGAGCUACAAUGGUUGGUACAAUGGGUAUCUACCCCGAAAGGGGACGGGAAUCUCCUAAAACCAAUCUUAGUUCGGAUUGAGGGCUGCAACUCGCCCUCAUGAAGCUGGAAUCCGUAGUAAUCGCGUUUCAACAGAACGCGGUGAAUACGUCCCUGCUCCUU